GACGAACGCUGGCGGCGUGCUUAACACAUGCAAGUCGAACGGAAAGGCCCUGCUUUGGUGGGGUGCUCGAGUGGCGAACGGGUGAGUAACACGUGAGUAACCUGCCCUUGACUUUGGGAUAACUUCAGGAAACUGGGGCUAAUACCGGAUAGGAGCACCUGCUGCAUGGCGGGGGUUGGAAAGUUUCGGCGGUGGGGGAUGGACUCGCGGCUUAUCAGCUUGUUGGUGGGGUAGUGGCUUACCAAGGCUUUGACGGGUAGCCGGCCUGAGAGGGUGACCGGCCACAUUGGGACUGAGAUACGGCCCAGACUCCUACGGGAGGCAGCAGUGGGGAAUAUUGCACAAUGGGCGGAAGCCUGAUGCAGCAACGCCGCGUGCGGGAUGACGGCCUUCGGGUUGUAAACCGCUUUCGCCUGUGACGAAGCGUGAGUGACGGUAAUGGGUAAAGAAGCACCGGCUAACUACGUG
rnacentral:rRNA from 1 species